AUGGAUGCUGAACCCGAGCAUGCAUCCCCUCCGGCUCCGGGCCAGCACACUCAAGUGGCAUCGACCACCGAUUUUUACAACCUUCGCAACGUCGAUGACGCCGCAAAGGCACGGAAGAAAGAAGAGCGGAGGGCGAGAGAGGAGCACAUCCAAAACAAACGCCUACGCAUCCAAAACAGACGCCUAAGGAGGCAAUGUAAGAUAAAGGAGGCUCAAGAAGUUGUGGACAGGGCAUUCAAGCUGAGAGAAGAGAUGCUUCAGAAGAGGCUCGCAUAUGAGGCGUCGACGGAGGGCAAGGAGGAGGCGGAGAAAUACCACAGCUCCCCUCCCUGGAGCUGGAGGCCGGCAGUUCCCAUUACUGAGGUCACUAACCAGUCACCAGCUUUUGAAUGGGUUCCGUACUUUGACGUUGAUGAGUUCGGGAGAGAAUCUGUGCUCAAGUGCGCAAGUUGGAGCGUCGAGGAAUUCACACUGGAACUUGCUCAAUGUGUGGUUGGCCUUCAGUCAUUUAUAGAAGACAGGAUUUUUUUCUCUUGCUCUGGAACAGUUGUUGAGUUUCUAGAGGGUGUUGGUCAUGUGGUAACAUCUGCUAGUUUAGUUAAAUUGCCACACCAAGAUGAGAUAGCUGAUAAACUCAAGAUCAAUGUAUUCCUAGCAAGUGGAGAAAUACUCGAGGGCUCAGUAUCAAAUGUGGACUUUUGUUACAACAUAUGUGUGAUGGAAGUUCGUUCAACUUCAAUGCUGGCGACGAAAAAGUUCACUGCGGACAGUAGAAUCUUCAAUUUUAAAGAGUGCCAUUCAAAAGAUGUUGUAGCUUUAGGCCGCCUUUGUGAGCCGUGGAGCUUGAACGUUGCUUCGGGAAAGCUAAUCCCAAGAAGAAGCGAGCUUGAUUGUGAAGAACUUGUUGUUUCGUCUUGCAGGAUUUCAAAGAGAGGUAUUGGGGGUCCUCUGAUGGAUUUUGAUGGAAAUGUCAUCGGAAUGAACUUCUAUGACAGGAAAGAAACCCCUUGCAUUCCAGGUUUCAUUGUGUUGAAGUGUUUGCAGCACUUCAAUGAUUUCGGGACAGUCAUACGACCAUUGCAUGGACUGAGAGUUAAGACUCUUCACGAAGCACAGCUUACUGUACUUGAGAAGAUACAUCAUGCUUUCCCUGAGAUCUGUGGUGUGAUAGUGGAUAAGGUAGAAGUACCUUCACCUGAACACUCCGAGAUAAAGGUUGGGGACAUCAUCACUCAUGUUAAUGGCAUACCUUUCUCCAGUGCUGCAGAGUUUGGUGGUAUACUGCUUGAUACGUGUGGUCAGCAUAUGCUAGAGAGACAGAAAUUGGGCCAACCGGAGGACUAUAACCAGAUGUCAACAGUGAUAAGCCUAAAGUUCGACGUGAAAACACAGAGAGGCCGCAAAUGGGAAAAGACAACCAGAACAAUCAACGUCGACAAGUUUACUCCUAGUGGAAAGCUAAACAGGUGGCCACUUGGGAGAGCUUAUCUUCUUCGCCGUAUUGAGAAUGGAAUCCUUUACACGAAGAGCGAUAUGGCUAACAGCGAAACUCUUUGUUUCGUCCAUUUGAGUAGAAUUAAUUCGUAA
rnacentral:rRNA from 1 species